rnacentral:lncRNA from 10 species
UGUCUGUUCCUAAGCAUGAAGGAGGACCACAUGAGGAUCCUGGACACCUACUGCAUGAAUGUAUUCACCCUUUCAGGUCUAGGGACCUGCAUCUCCUGGACAGUCAGCCGAGUGUUUCCAUGAUACCAGCCAUACCUGAUGCCAGGAGACUCGCUACACUUGGAAGCUCUUCAAGGCAUGCUUAUCUUUGUGAACUGAAUCUUGGAGAAGCAGGAUUGAAAAUAAGAGCUAUCUUUGAGGCUCUAGCACCUACAAGAGACACCCUCCCUCUCCACCGUGGAUCACCUGUCUCACCCGUGUGAGUCUCCACACAGAAACCAGUCAUGGCCCUGCCUUUGCCCCCCUUGAAAUCACCCAAGAGGAUGCUUCAAACUCAGGUUUAACAUCCUCCCAGGAUGUCAACUGGAAGAUCAUGCCGUUCCUGACAAUUAGAAGAGGAGUUCCCUGCUCAAGGGAAGCACAUGGUAGGGUUAAUGCUACAUGGAACAUGAACUUUGAAGAUCCUCAUUUUGGUUUCCAUGAAGGUGGUGAAGGUUCUCCAAAUAAAAGCAUUUCCAAUAAGGGUGAAGAGUAGAGAGCAGUGAUGUUUCCAAAAAGUUUAGAAUUCCUCCUUCAAAUGACUUCCUAAUGAAUAUCAGAAGGCAAUGUGUGGAGUCACAAGUCAUUGGAAUGGCAGCCACUGUGUAAUUUCAACAAAACGCUUCAUCCCUCUGAGCCUCUGGUGGCUCAUCUGUAAAUUAAGGCAAAUUCUAUCUUCAAAUUUCUUCACUCUUUGAUCAACAACUUUUAUUCAACUUUGUUGAAAA